CACAUGCGUUUUGAGUUUUGCAAUGAUUAAAUAGUUUUCUAGUAUAAAACGAUACAUUUGUCUUCGGAAAUUGCUAAUUUUCAUGAAAUGCGACCUAUGUGUUGAAUUAUUUACACGUUAAUUGACAAAAGAGCGAACGAAACUGUAACAGAGUCAUGCCAAAUUAUAUCAUGAAUGUCCAAUAAAAGUUUACUUUUAACACCUAGUGUGUUCUGUGUUAAAAUCAUGUGUUUGCAGGACGGGUAUGAAAGUUUAUGGAUAAAUCCAAACCGAUAUGAAAAUUUCUGUGGAUAAUAACCAAACUCAUAAUGGAUAAUUCACAAACUGCGAUGUAUUGAGCAUGUUUUCCAAAGACAGUACAGCUCCUUUGGCGGAAAUGGAGAUUGAUCGUCAUGACGAGGAAUUUGAGUUGUCAUUUCAUGACGAAGAAGAUAACAUCGGUGAUGAAAUACCUGUGCUUGAAGGUUCAUUCGUUGAAGUAGAUGGCGAAGGUGAAAUGACUCAAAGUACUUCGGCAUAUGCAUGUUUAAAAUGCAAAAUAACAUAUAAACACGAAAAAAAAUCUAAAAACCCACUUGAAGGUACAUUCUGAAACUUCAGUGAAAUGUUUGAAAUGCUCACGUCCGUAUGGAAGUGGCCAACAAUUAGAAAGACACAUGCUUAAGUUUUCAAUGUCAUUUUCAAUAGUGAGUUGCUUAUGUUGUUCAUCUAUGUUUUGUGGACUAAUGUCAGCAUAUAUUUUUGUCCGAUAAAGUAAUUUGCCGGUUGUUUCAUCUAACGUAAGUUCUCUAAUUUUUAAUUUUUCUACGUAAUGGUUAGUUGUGUUAUGUAUAAGUAUUUCUUUCAGGCAUUUAAAGGCCUCUGUACAAUGAUAACAUCUGUAGUUUUCCAUUUUUCCUGUUUGACCUGAAAAGAAAACAGAAUCAUUUUUUUGUUAUGAUGAUUGUUUAACAAUGUGCUAAAAUGCUUUUGUUGUCAGCAAUUAAAUAAAUCUCGAAAUAUUUUACAA